AACACGUGGGUAACCUACCUAUAAGACUGGGAUAACUUCGGGAAACCGGAGCUAAUACCGGAUAAUAUUUCGAACCGCAUGGUUCGAUAGUGAAAGAUGGUUUUGCUAUCACUUAUAGAUGGACCCGCGCCGUAUUAGCUAGUUGGUAAGGUAACGGCUUACCAAGGCGACGAUACGUAGCCGACCUGAGAGGGUGAUCGGCCACACUGGAACUGAGACACGGUCCAGACUCCUACGGGAGGCAGCAGUAGGGAAUCUUCCGCAAUGGGCGAANNCCUGACGGAGCAACGCCGCGUGAGUGAUGAAGGUCUUCGGAUCGUAAAACUCUGUUAUUAGGGAAGAACAUACGUGUAAGUAACUAUGCACGUCUUGACGGUACCUAAUCAGAAAGCCACGGCUAACUACGUGCCAGCAGCCGCGGUAAUACGUAGGUGGCAAGCGUUAUCCGGAAUUAUUGGGCGUAAAGCGCGCGUAGGCGGUUUUUUAAGUCUGAUGUGAAAGCCCACGGCUCAACCGUGGAGGGUCAUUGGGAAACUGGAAAAACUUGGAGUGCAGAAGAGGAAAAGUGGAAUUUCCAUGUGUAGCGGUGAAAUGCGCAGAGAUAUGGAGGGACACCAGGUGGCGAAGGCGACUUUUCUGGGUCUGUAACUGACGCUGAUGUGCG
rnacentral:rRNA from 1 species